UGUAUAUUUCCCACCAGUACGGACCACUGCCCUAUUAUUCUCCCCCUACGACUUUUGUCUUUACAAUUUACAAUGUACACUUGCAUAAUUGCAAAUCAGCAAUACGGUAAACUAUAACCGCCCCGGUGAGUGCAGGGACCGCCGGUCGUUCGCCACUGAAACAGAGGAAUCACAGCGCGGGGGUCCAUCAAUUAUUAUAAGAGAGAAACAACGU